rnacentral:lncRNA from 1 species
AGAAUCAUAGAUGCAAAAAGGUGAAUGCAUAUUUUAAAUAUAAAAUAUUGCAUUUCGUGAUAAUCUGAUUUAGGUUAGGAGCUGUACAACUGGCUAAACGCUCGUAUCUUCGAAGUUCUUGUUUUUAGUCUUCAAUGAAGGUGCAAAUACUCCAUACAAAAUAUAUAAGCGGAACAAGAUGCGGAGGAAUAAACAUGUGGAAGCACGGAUCGAGGAGCUAGAACACACAACUUUGUUUACAAACACAGAGACAGUAGGUGGGAUGAAAAUGUUGUUAAAACAGGACUGAUGUUCAAAGUUGGAACUCUUUAUAAUGCGUGUGCUCACGAGACCCAAGAUAGUGUGAUGUUAACCACUGAAAUAGAAUACUUAUGAGUACCUUUUAUGUUUUUUAGAGGUUGACUUUGCUAAAUAAAUUUUUACACCUAAUUUUAAGACUGUUGAUGUUGGUAUAUCUAAUAGUGAACAGAAACGAAGUCAACUAGAAUCAAAUUAUCACAAGAAAUCGAGCGUGAACUUCACCGAUAAAUUAUCAAAGUCAAAUUCAGGUAUACUACAAAUGAAGUAUAAUUAGAGCCGAAACAAUUGCCAGUUGGCAUCUGCUCUGCUAUUUCCUUUU